rnacentral:rRNA from 1 species
AUUGAACGCUGGCGGCAGGCCUAACACAUGCAAGUCGAACGAGUGGCGGACUGGUGAGUAAUGUCUGGGCAACUGCCCGAUGGAGGGGGAUAACUACUGGAAACGUUAGCUACUACCGCAUACCAUCGGAUGUGCCCAGAUGGGUUUAGCUAGUAGGUGUGGUAUUGGCUCACCUAGGCGACGAUCCCUAGCUGGUCUGAGAGGAUGACCGGCCACACUGGAACUGAGAAACGGUCCAGACUCCUACGGGAGGCAGCAGUGGGGAAUAUUGCACAAUGGGCGAAAGCCUGAUGCAGCCAUGCCGCGUGUAUGAAGAAGGCCUUCGGGUUGUAAAGUACUUUCAGCGAGGAGGCGUUACUCGCAGAAGAAGCACCGGCUAACUCCGUGCCAGCAGCCGCGGUAAUAC